GUCAUUAGCAGACUAUUGGUAGCCUGACGCUGGACAUCCUUACACUAUGCAUGAGGAUGUCCAGCGUCACCAGAAUCCCUAUAGGAAAGCAUUGUAUAAUGAUUUCUUAUGGGGCUGUUCUAAAGCCAGCAUGGCCACUGCCGCUCAUGCGCAUUAGGUAUCCCUCGUCGGCUGAUGUCGGCGGGAGAAAAGCGAUGGUGGACC